rnacentral:rRNA from 1 species
GAACGAGAAAGUGGAGCAAUCCAUGAGUAAAGUGGCGACCGGGUGAGUAACACGUGACUAACCUACCCUAGAGUGGGGGAUAACCUCGGGAAACCGGGGCUAAUACCGCAUAACAUCGCGAGGGGAAGAUCCUUGCGAUCAAAGGAGCAAUUCGCUCAAGGAGUGGGUCGCGGCUGAUUAGCUAGUUGGUGAGGUAACGGCUCACCAAGGCAAAGAUCAGUAGCCGGCCUGAGAGGGCGCACGGCCACACUGGAACUGAAACACGGUCCAGACUCCUACGGGAGGCAGCAGUGGGGAAUUUUGCGCAAUGGGGGAAACCCUGACGCAGCAACGCCGCGUGGAGGAUGAAGUCCCUUGGGAUGUAAACUCCUUUCGAUCGGGACGAUUAUGACGGUACCGGAAGAAGAAGCACCGGCUAACUCUGUG